UGUUUCUGGGAUUUCUCCUCCGCACAAAUUCAAUGCCCAUAUUGCAGAGUGGAGCAGGCUGCAUUGCUUUGUUGCUCCCUGUGUGUUAUUUGACUUGGAUUCAUUUACAUGGCAACUCACAGGGGUAAAUUUUAUGUCAUCUUUAUGUCCCAGAUUAAAAGGCAGAAGUAAUCCUUUAUUUGAGCAGCAUGUCCCUUCCAACCUUCCGGCCAUACAGGUGAAAACAGAGGGGAAAAAACCCAGACCCUCCCACCCCCAUAAUUCCAGUUUCAUCAUUUUCUAUGCUAAAUUUGAACUGUGUAGUUAUUAAUUCCACCCUCCCCUUGUAAGCAGCCUGUAGUUUAGUGUUAGUUUCUGAUUGCCUUGGUUAGGGUCACAGCUUCGAAGUGACCCAUGCCCUGCUGCUCAGAUGUGCCGCUGCGGUAGCUCCUGACAAGAAGAGGGCAGCUGGGAAGGGUUUUGUGCUGGUUGGAGAAACCCUGAUCCUAAAAGUACAGCUAGAGACCUUACUGAAGUAGCUUCUUGGGAAGCUUUGGGAAGCUUGUGCUCAAGGGCCCCAGAAGGUAGCCUGUGACCGGUCCUUGCCCAGACUGGAGGACUUGGCAGGAGGUGAGCCAUCUUCAUGGAAAAAUGAAGCUGCUGCCUCCUGCCCAGAUCUCUUCCUUAUGAAGCUGGUGGCCAUUGGGAAUAAUCCACAGAAAGGCCACAGUUUCGCCACCUUCAUUUUCUGUGGGAAUCAGUUCUACAACUAGGAACACGGGACAGACCCAAGGUUAAAGACAUUGCUAAGUCAUGGCUAAGUCCUUUUCCUUUCCUUGCCCCUGCCACAGUGGAUGCUGGUCUGUGUCAUCUGCGACUCCAGCAAAAUUAGGCAUUUUCAUACAAAACCGGAGAAGAACAGUCUGCCUGGACAAGGUUUUCCAGUGAGCAGCUCUUUUCUGCUUCCAGUACUGGCCCCAAGCUAUUCUGGGACUCUUUUCCAGCUACAGCCUGGGUAAAGACAUGCUUUACAGCAUGGGUUAACUGUCUCUACAGGAACUAUUACUGGAAAAUACAACUAUAAAUCUCCAUGCAAGUGUUGAGGCCAUGUCACACAGUAUUUUGGCAGUCACCAAGGAGAUCCAGAUGCUCUCACUUCUCUCUGCUCCCUAAGCUCUUUUGGGUUAUGCAAGUCUUUCUUUCUCCUUUUACACUCUUUGCCAUCCUUUUUCUUUCUUCAGGCUGGCUCCUGGAAAGACCUUCCAUUUUCUUACGGACUCACUGGCUCUGCUUUCCCGACUCAAAUCCCUCUGCAAGACCUUGCAGAAAUGACAUUUUGUAAAAAUCCCCAUUUUGAGGCCACAUUUUUUCCCUGCCCAUUGAUGUCCCCUCCGCUUGAAUUGCAGGGUUUAGUUUUGACUGUGAGGCAAAGAUGGCAGUUUCCCAACUAACCCCAAGUCAGGUCAGAAAAGAAGAAUGAAAACCAAAAAGGGGACCCGGAAUGUCAAAGCAGAAGACAAUCAAAUUUCCGUGUCAAAAAGAGGGCAAAACUAAAGAUGUGGGACAUGCCUGAAAAAAUCUUGUAGACAGUACUUUUCCUCUUCCUUUCUCUCACAGUGGGACAAAUUCCACUUUUAUUUCAGUUCAUCUGUAAAACAUGAGGAGCCAGCUGAGCAUCGCAUUGGUUCAGAAUGAGGGCAGCUGACAAGGGAAAGAGGUACUUGAUCCCGUUGUCCUCUGGUGCUUGGUUACAAGGACUGCAAACAAGGAGAAGGCAGCUCUGAGAGUCUGGGGGCAGAGUUAAUGGUCAGAACUUGGGUGCAGCUGGAAAAGCAGGACAUGAAAGAGCAGCUUGGAUAGAAAAAGGCUCAGAGCUACUGCUUUAGUUCACACUGUUUUCCUUGCCUGUGUGAGAUGUCGAACCUACUCAAGACUAUUUUGCUGCAUGGAAAACCCUGGACACUUGAUACCACAGAAAUGAGGAAAAAUUCUGGGCAGAGCUUCUUUGCUUCUCAACAAGUGCAACAAAAUGUUUCCCAUUUCUAAUAAACAAGGGUUAUUCUUCACUUUGGGUUACCACAUCCCUACUAGGCUGCCAACAAAACCAAAACACUCCAUCACCCAGCAGUGUGCAGUUGCUAAAUAUCCCCAUCACUGACACUGGCACCUUUUCCAGGCCAAAAGGGCAUCAGCCGUGGAGAGCUGUGCAGAUGCUGACUGCAGCACAGCGCCCUGUAAGCACUCAAUUAGCCCGGCCGCUUGUGCUCAACCUCUCAAGCACUCGGUGGAAGUAAAAUGCUUACACGAUCCCUCUGCCUACAAGGCCUUGAAAUCUUUAGGGGGCCUGGCUUUGCUGCCUGGUUUUCCAUUGACAGGCUGAUAGAGACAUCACAAAUCUCUCCAAAGGCCAGUCACUAGGCUUCUUUCAACAUCAAAGGUGUCAAUGUUCACUCUGCCUCGGAGCCUGGGGCAGUAUAAAUCACACAUGAAUAUGUGAACUGAGUGUUUGAGGUUAAACUCGCUCUGUAUAUACAAAUAUUUCUCCUUGAGUAACUGGUAUUAUUGUACUGUUUCCUCAUCAAUGUCAAAUAUUUUCUAUAAAUCAUAAUAUUCCAAUGGAAAACAAAGCUUUUUAUAGGUGAAAAGGGGGAAAAAAACGAUGAACCAGGGUGUUGUGGGAAAAGAAUAACUGAUUUUAAAUAUACAUUGCCAUUUUCUUGGAAGAAAAA